GUUAGGAUGGCCGAGCGGUCUAAGGCGCUGCGUUCAGGUCGCAGUCUCCUCUGGAGGCGUGGGUUCGAAUCGCACUUUUGACA
rnacentral:tRNA from 2 species